rnacentral:rRNA from 1 species
AUUGAACGCUGGCGGCAGGCCUAACACAUGCAAGUCGAGCGAGCGGCGGACGGGGGAGUAAUGUAUGUGGGCUGCCCGAUAUAGGGGGAUAACACCUGGAAACGGUGGCUAAUACCGCAUACUACAGGAUAACCCAUAGGGGAUUAGCUCGUAGGUGAGGUAAUGGCUCACCUAGGCGACGAUCCCUAGCUGGUCUGAGAGGAUGAUCAGCCACACUGGAACUGAGACACGGCCCAGACUCCUACGGAGGCAGCAGUGGGGAAUAUUGCACAAUGGGCGCAAGCCUGAUGCAGCCAUGCCGCGUGUAUGAAGAAGGCCUUAGGGUUGUAAAGUACUUUCAGUCGGGAGGCGUUACCGACAGAAGAAGCACCGGCUAACUCCGUGCCAGCAGCCGCGGUAAUUC